GCGGCAAGAGCUCAAAUUUGAAAUCUGGCUCCGUCGGGCCCGAGUUGUAAUUUGCAGAGGAUGCUUCGGGAGUGGCCGCGGUCUAAGUCCCCUGGAACGGGGCGUCGCAGAGGGUGAGAAUCCCGUCUUCGGCCGGCCGGCCUCGCCCGCUAUGAAGCUCCUUCGACGAGUCGAGUUGUUUGGGAAUGCAGCUCUAAAUGGGUGGUAAAUUUCAUCUAAAGCUAAAUACUGGUCGGAGACCGAUAGCGCACAAGUAGAGUGAUCGAAAGAUGAAAAGCACUUUGAAAAGAGAGUUAAACAGCAUGUGAAAUUGUUGAAAGGGAAGCGCUUGCGACCAGAGUCGGCCGCCGGGGUUCAGCGGGCACUUGUUGCCCGUGCACUCCCCGGUGGUCGGGUCAGCGUCAGUUUUGACGGCCGGUCAAAGGCCCCCGGAAUGUAACGUCUCUCGGGAUGUCUUAUAGCCGGGGGUGCCAUGCGGCCAGUCGGGACUGAGGAAC
rnacentral:misc_RNA from 1 species